rnacentral:rRNA from 1 species
CCUACGGGCGGCUGCAGUGGGGAAUUUUGGACAAUGGGCGGAAGACUGAACCAGCCAUGCCGCGUGCAGGAAGAAUGCCUUAUGGGUUGUAAACUGCUUUUAUAUGGGAAGAAUAAGGCGUACGUGUACGUUGAUGACGGUACCAUAUGAAUAAGCAUCGGCUAACUCCGUGCCAGCAGCCGCGGUAAUACGGAGGAUGCGAGCGUUAUUCGGAAUCAUUGGGUUUAAAGGGUCUGUAGGCGGGCUAUUAAGUCAGGGGUGAAAGGUUUCAGCUUAACUGAGAAAUUGCCUUUGAUACUGGUAGUCUUGAACAUCUGUGAAGUUCUUGGAAUGUGUAGUGUAGCGGUGAAAUUCUUAGAUAUUACACAGAACACCGAUUGCGAAGGCAGGGGACUAACAGACAAUUGACGCUGAGAGACGAAAGCGUGGGGAGCGAACAGGAUUAGAUACCCUUGUAGUC